GACGAACGCUGGCGGCGUGCUUAACACAUGCAAGUCGAACGGGAGUAUUGAAGAAGCUUGCUUUAGAGAUACUUUAGUGGCGGACGGGUGAGUAACGCGUGAGGAGCUGUCCGAUGCAGGGGGACAACAGGUGGAAACGACUGCUAAUACCCCAUAAGCCGAGAGGUAAAAGGAUUUAUCCGGCAAUGGAGGUACUCGCGUCCUAUCAGCUAGUAGGUGAGGUAACGGCUCACCUAGGCGAAGACGGGUAGCCGGCCUGAGAGGGCGAACGGCCACACUGGAACUGAGAUACGGUCCAGACUCCUACGGGAGGCAGCAGUGGGGAAUAUUGGGCAAUGGGGGGAACCCUGACCCAGCGACGCCGCGUGGGUGAAGAAAUCCUUCGGGAUGUAAAGCCCUGUUGUAUGGGAAGAGCGGAAGACGGUACCAUACGAGGAAGCCCCGGCAAACUACGUGCCAGCCGCCGCGGUAAGAC
rnacentral:rRNA from 1 species